rnacentral:rRNA from 1 species
UACGUAGGGGGCAAGCGUUGUCCGGAAUCAUUGGGCGUAAAGAGCGCGUAGGCGGUCCGGUAAGUCCGCUCUGAAAGUCCGGGGCUCAACCCCGGGAGGCCGGGCGGAUACUGCCGGGCUAGAGUCCGGAAGAGGCGAGUGGAAUUCCUGGUGUAGCGGUGAAAUGCGGCAGAGUAUCAGGAGGAACACCGAUGGCGAAGGCAGCUCGCUGGGACG